rnacentral:rRNA from 1 species
GAUGAACGCUGGCGGCGUGCCUAAUACAUGCAAGUCGAGCGAACAGACGAGGAGCUUGCUCCUCUGACGUUAGCGGCGGACGGGUGAGUAACACGUGGAUAACCUACCUAUAAGACUGGGAUAACUUCGGGAAACCGGAGCUAAUACCGGAUAAUAUAUUGAACCGCAUGGUUCAAUAGUGAAAGACGGUUUUGCUGUCACUUCUAGAUGGAUCCGCGCCGCAUUAGCUAGUUGGUAAGGUAACGGCUUACCAAGGCAACGAUGCGUGGCCGACCUGAGAGGGUGGUCGGCCACCUUGGAACUGAGACGCGGUCCAGACUCCUACGGGAGGCAGCAGUAGGGAAUCUUCCGCAAUGGGCGAAAGCCUGACGGAGCAACGGCGCGUGAGUGAUGAAGGUCUUCGGAUCGUAAAACUCUGUUAUUAGGGAAGAACAAAUGUGUAAGUAACUAUGCACGGCUUGACGGUACCGAAUCAGAAAGCCACGGCUAACUACGUG